rnacentral:tRNA from 1 species
GGAGGUAUGGCUUAGUGGUAGAACGCGUGCUUAGCAUGCACGAGGUCCUGGGUUCCAUCCCCAGUACCUCUG